rnacentral:rRNA from 1 species
GUGGAUUAGUGGCGAACGGGUGAGUAACACGUGAGUAACCUGCCCUUGACUCUAGGAUAAGCCCGGGAAACUGGGUCUAAUACUGGAUAGGAACGUCUACCGCAUGGUGGGUGUUGGAAAGAAUUUCGGUCAUGGAUGGACUCGCGGCCUAUCAGCUUGUUGGUGAGGUAAUGGCUCACCAAGGCGACGACGGGUAGCCGGCCUGAGAGGGUGACCGGCCACACUGGGACUGAGACACGGCCCAGACUCCUACGGGAGGCAGCAGUGGGGAAUAUUGCACAAUGGGCGAAAGCCUGAUGCAGCGACGCCGCGUGAGGGAUGACGGCCUUCGGGUUGUAAACCUCUUUCAGUAGGGAAGAAGCGAAAGUGACGGUACCUGCAGAAGAAGCACCGGCUAACUACGUGCCAGCAGCCGCGGUAAUACGUAGGGUGCGAGCGUUAUCCGGAAUUAUUGGGCGUAAAGAGCUCGUAGGCGGUUUGUCGCGUCUGUCGUGAAAGUCCGGGGCUUAACCCCGGAUCUGCGGUGGGUA